UACGUAGGGUGCGAGCGUUUAAUCGGAAUUACUGGGCGUAAAGCGUGCGCAGGCGGUUAUGUAAGACAGAUGUGAAAUGCCCGGGCUUAACCUGGGAACUGCAUUUGUGACUGCAUGGCUAGAGUUUGGCAGAGGGAGGUGGAAUUCCACGUGUAGCAGUGAAAUGCGUAGAGAUGUGGAGGAACACCGAUGACGAAGGCAGCCUCCUGGGCCAGCACUGACGCUCAUGCACGAAAGCGUGGGGAGCAAACAGG
rnacentral:rRNA from 1 species